CUUUUUGUACUUCUCUGGCCAGCUAGACAUUCCCAUGUCUAAUUUCAGACUCUCUUUGCCCUUUGAUUCUGCUUGAAGUCCAGCCAAUAGCUAAUGUAGCAGGGUGGAAAUUUAACUCACACUACAACUCAGACACAAAGAGAAAAUAUUCAAGACUUGCUUUGAACUCCUGAGCGUAUGUGUGCUGCAUAACUCAUGAUGGCUCUCCUGACAUCUGACUACCAGUUCUGUCUUACGCAUUGGUUUCCAGGAGAGAUGGAAGUGGAAAUGAGAAGAGUGAAGUAUCGAAGGACUAGUCUAUCUAACUGGGGCUCCUGGGUGGCUCAGUCGGUUAAACAUCUGCCCUCAGCUCGGGUCAUGAUCUCAGAGUCCUGGGAUCCAGCCAUUUUUUGGGCUCCCUCCCUUGCUGGGCAGGGAACCAGCUUCUCCCUCUCCCUCUGCUGCUCCCCCUGCUUGUGCGCAUGCACGCACUCUCCUCUUUCUCUCUGUCAAAUAAAUAAAUUAAAAAAAUUUUUUUAAAAGGA